rnacentral:rRNA from 1 species
GAUGAACGCUGGCGGCGUGCUUAACACAUGCAAGUCGAACGAUGAAGCCCAGCUUGCUGGGUGGAUUAGUGGCGAACGGGUGAGUAACACGUGAGUAACCUGCCCUUAACUCUGGGAUAAGCCUGGGAAACUGGGUCUAAUACCGGAUAGGAGCGUCCACCGCAUGGUGGGUGUUGGAAAGAUUUAUCGGUUUUGGAUGGACUCGCGGCCUAUCAGCUUGUUGGUGAGGUAAUGGCUCACCAAGGCGACGACGGGUAGCCGGCCUGAGAGGGUGACCGGCCACACUGGGACUGAGACACGGCCCAGACUCCUACGGGAGGCAGCAGCGGGGAAUAUUGCACAAUGGGCGAAAGCCUGAUGCAGCGACGCCGCGUGAGGGAUGACGGCCUUCGGGUUGUAAACCUCUUUCAGUAGGGAAGAAGCGAAAGUGACGGUACCUGCAGAAGAAGCACCGGCUAACUACGUG